rnacentral:lncRNA from 1 species
GACAAGGCAACGCCUAAGCUAGAGAUGUCUAUUACACGUUCUUUAGGUGAAUUAUAGUAGAGUCAAGAGACAUGCAACUUUCCUAUUCAUUGUCAUGACUUUAAGUUUUAUAAAGUUUGGUGAAUCAUCUCUUACUCGAUUAGGAAGGUCUGUUUUAAGGGUAAUUGUUCUUCUGCACACAUUCACCCAUUGCACAUAAGUAUUCAAUGAUGUACUGAAGUUUUGGCGUCCGACUUAUCUAUAGACACUUUAUCCUCUUUACUUUCAGCAAUCACAAUCAAGUAUUCAAAAUUGUGUGUCAACUUGUGGUGCAUACGAGUACACGAUGUUGCUGCCUUUAGGCAAACUCGUGCAAGGCAAAAGUCACAAAUGGUGUGGGCACAGCAGAAUUCCAACAGAAAGCUGCGAUGUAAGUGGGAUGGUGCUAUUCCGGCGAUUAAGUGAAGGAAAUGCGCCGUAAUUUGCCACAGGUCGGGUACACGAGUUGGU